rnacentral:rRNA from 1 species
AACGAACGCUGGCGGCGUGCCUAACACAUGCAAGUCGAACGGAGCUGCAGCGAUGCAGCUUAGUGGCGGACGGGUGAGUAACACGUGAGCAACCUACCUUCAAGUGGGGAAUAACGCAUCGAAAGAUGCGCUAAUACCGCAUAAAAUAUGAAUCCGGCAUCGGAUGCAUAUCAAAGAUUUAUCGCUUGAAGAUGGGCUCGCGUCUGAUUAGGUAGUUGGUGAGGUAACGGCUCACCAAGCCUGCGAUCAGUAGCCGGACUGAGAGGUUGGCCGGCCACAUUGGGACUGAGACACGGCCCAGACUCCUACGGAGGCAGCAGUGGGGAAUAUUAGUCAAUGGGGGAACCCUGAACUAGCAACGCCGCGUGAAGGAAGAAGGUCUUCGGAUUGUAAACUUUUGUCUUCAGGACGAAACAAAUGACGGUACCUGAGGAGAAGCCACGGCUAACUACGUG